AUUGAACGCUGGCGGCAGGCCUAACACAUGCAAGUCGAACGAGUGGCGGACGGGUGAGUAAUGUCUGGGAAACUGCCUGAUGGAGGGGGAUAACUACUGGAAACGGUAGCUAAUACCGCAUACCAUCAGAUGUGCCCAGAGUGGAUUAGCUUGUUGGUGGGGUAACGGCGCACCAAGGCGACGAUCCCUAGCUGGUCUGAGAGGCUGACCAGCCACACUGGAACUGAGACACGGUCCAGACGCCUACGGGAGGCAGCAGUGGGGAAUAUUGCACAAUGGGCGAAAGCCUGAUGGAGCCAGGCCGAGUGAAUGAAGAAGGCUUUCGGGUUGUAAAGUACUUUCGGCGGGGAGGCGUUACCCGCAGAGGAAGCACCGGCUAACUCCGUGCCAGCCGCCGCGGUAAUAC
rnacentral:rRNA from 1 species